rnacentral:piRNA from 1 species
UGGAGAGGAACAAUUCUGAGUCUUAG